UUUCUCGAAGUAAAAGAUCUAAUUGGAUUAUUAAGUUUUUGUGUCAAAAAAAUUUAUAAAAUCCGUUUAGGUGUGAGAUGCAAAUCGUUUUUACUAAUAUCUAGUAACUUUAGAAAAAAAUUUAGUUUGGGCUGCUAAGGAAUUCUUCUUUUUUUUGUAGUCUUAUAUUUUAGGGGAUGAGCUCUAAAAUAAAUUUAAAAGAAAAGGAAGCGUUAAUUUCUAAGUAGGCUUAGAAUUGGCCAAAAGAUAGUGUUAUAAGAUAGAAAUUUAGAUUUAGGAUUUAUUUUUCUUUUAAUUAAAUGAAGUUUAUAAAGAAAUAAUUUAGUUAUUGUAAAUAUGAUAGUAUAAGUAGAAAUUUGUGUGAAUUUUUCUUAUAAAGGAAUUAUAUAAUUUAUGGCAAAAGAACUCGGCAAAUGAGAUUUCCGAAUGUUUAACAAAAACAUUUCCUCUUGAUAAAGGGAGGUAAGACCUGCUCACUGAAGUUUAAAGAGCCGCAGUAUCCUGACUGUGCUAAGGUAGCAUAAUCAUUAGUCUUUUAAUUGGAGACUGGUAUGAAUGGUUAAACGAGAAAUCAACUUUUUUUGCUAUAGAAAUCAAAUUUAAUUUUUUAGUGAAAAAGCUAAAAUUUUUCAGAAAGACGAGAAGACCCUAUAGAGUUUUAUAUUUUGAAUAAUUUUUUCUAAUUAGAUUUUUUUAGAUAAAAUUUUUUUAUAAUAUUUUGUUGGGGCGACAUUUAGAUAAGAAAAACUCUUUAUUUUUAAAACUUUAUUAAAAGAAUUGAAUGAUCCUUUAAAAAAGAUCAUAAGAAAAAAUUACCUUAGGGAUAACAGCGUAAUCUUUUUUGAGAGUUCUAAUCGACAAAAAGGUUUGCGACCU
rnacentral:rRNA from 1 species